CUGUGCAGCCGGGGUGCUAGCGGUACCCUGUACCUACAAUCCGCUAUAGUGGGGGUGAUGCUGUGCCGAGGGCUUUACUUGUCAAAGCUGCCUCUGGUUUGUGGCGUUGAGAUUUGGGUCUUACGCGGCGGGACUCUGUGAACCGUGUCAGGUCGGGAACGAAGCAGCACUAAGCAGAACCUCUCGGGUGCCGUAAGGUAGCCUGGGUUGAGUUUACAGCCAGAGUAACGUUUGGUAGGCUUUAGUUCGACGCACAGCGCACAG
rfam:Coprococcus comes CAG:19 genomic scaffold, scf79